rnacentral:rRNA from 1 species
UACGGAGGAUCCAAGCGUUAUCCGGAAUCAUUGGGUUUAAAGGGUCCGUAGGCGGUCAGGUAAGUCAGUGGUGAAAGCCCAUCGCUCAACGGUGGAACGGCCAUUGAUACUGCUUGACUUGAAUUAUUAGGAAGUAACUAGAAUAUGUAGUGUAGCGGUGAAAUGCUUAGAGAUUACAUGGAAUACCAAUUGCGAAGGCAGGUUACUACUAAUAUAUUGACGCUGAUGGACGAAAGCGUGGGUAGCGAACAGG